AUUGAACGCUAGCGGCAGGCUUAACACAUGCAAGUCGAACGAGUGGCGGACGGGUGAGUAAUAUAUGGGAACGUGCCCAGUAGCGGGGGAUAACUACUGGAAAGGGUGGCUAAUACCGCAUACUAUCGGAGGGGCCGAGAUCGGAUUAGCUAGUUGGUGGGGUAACGGCUCACCAAGGCAACGAUCCGUAGCUGGUCUGAGAGGAUGACCAGCCACACUGGGACUGAGACACGGCCCCGACUCCUACGGGAGGCAGCAGGGGGGAAUCUUCCGCAAUGGGCGAAAGUCUGACGGAGCCACGCCGCGUGUAUGAAGAAGGUUUUCGGGUCGUAAAGCACUUUCAUCGGGGAGGCGGUAGCUGCAGAAGAAGCCACGGCUAACUACGUGCCAGCAGCCGCUGUAAUAC
rnacentral:rRNA from 1 species